GUGGGGAAUUUUGGACAAUGGGCGCAAGCCUGAUCCAGCAAUGCCGCGUGCAGGAAGAAGGCCUAUGGGUUGUAAACUUCUUUUCUUAGAGAAGAAUAUUGACGGUAUCUGAGGAAUAAGCAUCGGCUAACUCUGUGCCAGCAGCCGCGGUAAGACAGAGGAUGCAAGCGUUAUCCGGAAUGAUUGGGCGUAAAGCGUCUGUAGGUGGCUUCAAAAGUCUCCGGUCAAAGGUCAGGGCUUAACCCUGGGCCGGCAGGAGAAACUAUGAGGGUAGAGUUUGGUAGGGGCAGAGGGAAUUCCCGGUGGAGCGGUGAAAUGCGUAGAGAUCGGGAGGAACACCAAAGGCGAAAGCACUCUGCUGGGCCACAACUGACACUGAGAGACGAAAGCGAGGGGAGCAAAAGGGAUUAGAAACCCGUGUAGUCC
rnacentral:rRNA from 1 species